AGUCGAACGAUGAUCAGGAGCUUGCUUCUGUGAUUAGUGGCGAACGGGUGAGUAACACGUGAGUAACCUGCCCCUGACUCUGGGAUAAGCGUUGGAAACGACGUCUAAUACUGGAUAUGACUUCCGGCCGCAUGGUCUGGUUGUGGAAAGAUUUUUUGGUUGGGGAUGGACUCGCGGCCUAUCAGCUUGUUGGUGAGGUAAUGGCUCACCAAGGCGACGACGGGUAGCCGGCCUGAGAGGGUGACCGGCCACACUGGGACUGAGACACGGCCCAGACUCCUACGGGAGGCAGCAGUGGGGAAUAUUGCACAAUGGGCGAAAGCCUGAUGCAGCAACGCCGCGUGAGGGAUGACGGCCUUCGGGUUGUAAACCUCUUUUAGUAGGGAAGAAGCGAAAGUGACGGUACCUGCAGAAAAAGCACCGGCUAACUACGUGCCAGCAGCCGCGGUAAUACGUAGGGUGCAAGCGUUGUCCGGAAUUAUUGGGCGUAAAGAGCUCGUAGGCGGUUUGUCGCGUCUGCUGUGAAAUCCCGAGGCUCAACCUCGGGCUUGCAGUGGGUACGGGCAGACUAGAGUGCGGUAGGGGAGAUUGGAAUUCCUGGUGUAGCGGUGGAAUGCGCAGAUAUCAGGAGGAACACCGAUGGCGAAGGCAGAUCUCUGGGCCGUAACUGACGCUGAGGAGCGAAAGCAUGGGGAGCGAACAGGA
rnacentral:rRNA from 1 species